UCAUAAGGGAGCUACCAUUUAAUUUUUAUGGGGGGGCUAGGAUGAAAUUUGAAAAAAAUAGGCAGGACAGGAGUUUUGAGUAAAAAAAAGGCAGGAUGAGACACUUGCCAAAAAAAAAAAGUCAGGACGACAAUUAAGGUAAACAAAAGUCAGGAUAAACUAAAAAAAAAAAGGCAGGACCGAACAGAGUGAAAAAUAAAAAGGUACGACAGAGAUUACAGCUAAAAAAAAAUGCAGGACAAAAUUUUUCCUCCUAGCCCCCCCAUAAAAAUCAAAUGGUAGCUCCCUAAGUGUCAGCUUGGGAUAUUCGCAUCCAAACAGUUAUCACCCUGAAGGCAAUUAAUACUAGCUAUUUAAUCUCUUAAUUGCCUGUAGUGUCCGACUUAAAGGGAUUACAAUUAAAGGUGAUAUAAUGUUUAUGAUCAUAAUCGAUAAUAGAUGAAAUUUCAAAAUUGAGGACAAGUAAAAAAGCAUCUUCAAAAUAAUUAUAGCGUCGCGGGAAUAAUUAUAGCGUCGCGGUAAUUAUUAUAGCAUCACGG
rnacentral:lncRNA from 1 species